rnacentral:rRNA from 1 species
AGAGUUUGAUCCUGGCUCAGGAUGAACGCUGGCGGCGUGCCUAACACAUGCAAGUCGAACGGAGUGUUGAGAGCUUGCUUUUAACACUUAGUGGCGGACGGGUGAGUAAUGUAUGAGCAACCUGCCUUUCAGAGGGGGACAACAGUUGGAAACGACUGCUAAUACCGCAUAAAGUAUUUAGGAGGCAUCUCCUGAAUACCAAAGGAGCAAUCCGCUGAAAGAUGGGCUCAUAUCUGAUUAGCUAGUUGGUGAGGUAACGGCUCACCAAGGCUGCGAUCAGUAGCCGGACUGAGAGGUUGAACGGCCACAUUGGGACUGAGAUACGGCCCAGACUCCUACGGGAGGCAGCAGUGGGGAAUAUUGGGCAAUGGGCGAAAGCCUGACCCAGCAACGCCGCGUGAAGGAAGAAGGUCUUCGGAUUGUAAACUUCUUUUAUGAGGGACGAAGGACGUGACGGUACCUCAUGAAUAAGCCACGGCUAACUACGUGCCAGCAGCCGCGGUAAUACGUAGGUGGCAAGCGUUAUCCGGAUUUACUGGGUGUAAAGGGCGCGUAGGCGGGGAUGCAAGUCAGGUGUGAAAUCUAUGGGCUUAACCCAUAAACUGCAUUUGAAACUGUAUCUCUUGAGUGCUGGAGAGGUAGAUGGAAUUCCUUGUGUAGCGGUGAAAUGCGUAGAUAUAAGGAAGAACACCAGUGGCGAAGGCGAUCUACUGGACAGUAACUGACGCUGAGGCGCGAAAGCGUGGGGAGCAAACAGGAUUAGAUACCCUGGUAGUCCACGCUGUAAACGAUGAAUACUAGGUGUGGGGGGACUGACCCCCUCCGUGCCGCAGUUAACACAAUAAGUAUUCCACCUGGGGAGUACGGC